GGAGGGUCCAAGCGUUAUCCGGGAAUCAUUGGGGUUUAAAGGGUCCGUAGGCGGGCAAUUAAGUCAGAGGGUGAAAUCCCACAGCUCAACUGUGGGAACUGCCUUUGAUACUGGUUGUCUUGAGUUAUAGUGAAGUAGAUAGAAUAUGUAGUGUAGCGGUGAAAUGCAUAGAUAUUACAUAGAAUACCGAUUGCGAAGGCAGUCUACUAACUGUAUACUGACGCUAAUGGACGAAAGCGUGGGGAGCGAACAGGAUUAGAUACCCUGGUAGUCCACGCCGUAAACGAUGGUCACUAGUUGUUGGGGUCUUGUACCUCAGUGAUUAAGAGAAAUUGAUAAGUGACCCACCUGGGGAGUACGAUCGCAAGAUUG
rnacentral:rRNA from 1 species